rnacentral:misc_RNA from 1 species
AAACUGCGAAAAGUAAUGUGAACUGCAUGCUUUGUGAAUCAUUGAAUUUUCGAAUGCACCUUGCACGUGGCGGCAUGCCGGCACGUAUGCCUGUUUGAGUAUUGCACACGAUCUCGCAAGAGCACCUGAGACCCAGCGCGUGCGUGCCUGCACAUGCGCGCUGCUUCUUCAAAGACAUGGCCGGACGCGCGGGCCGCGGUGCGCAUCGCUGGGAUAACGUUUCAGCGCAGCAGCCGCGGCGCGCGCACACGGCAGCCGUCGGCGCGCCUCGGCGCACGACACGCGCAUGUACAUACAUACAUACGCCGCACACCAAUCUCAAAUCAGGCAAGACUACCCGCCGAACUUAA